rnacentral:rRNA from 1 species
UACGUAGGGUGCGAGCGUUAAUCGGAAUUACUAGGCGUAAAGCGUGCGCAGGCGGUUUGUUAAGACAGGCGUGAAAUCCCCGGGCUCAACCUGGGAACUGCGCUUGUGACUGGCAGGCUAGAGUACGGCAGAGGGGGGUGGAAUUCCACGUGUAGCAGUGAAAUGCGUAGAGAUGUGGAGGAACACCAAUGGCGAAGGCGGGUCUCUGGGCAUUUCCUGACGCUGAGGCGCGAAAGCGUGGGGAGCAAACGGG